GAGUACUUCUCCAAAGCUCUAGCAGCCCCCCACAAAUAUUUCAGUAAAUUGCAGCAAUGUUUAGUUUUAAUACUUUUGUGUUUCUUAUGCCGUGCACUGGAAAAGGGAAGGCCAAAGCUGAGCAUGCCUCCAAUAGUAAUUGUGUUGCUGGGCAAUUGCAUCAUGAUGUGUAAGUUAUAAUUUAUCCCAAAAAAAAAAAAUGGA
rnacentral:misc_RNA from 1 species